rnacentral:rRNA from 1 species
UUAUAUGAGAGUUUGAUCCUGGCUCAGGAUGAACGCUGGCGGCGUGCCUAAUACAUGCAAGUCGAACGAGUUCUGAUUAUUGAAAGGUGCUUGCAUCUUGAUUUAAUUUUGAACGAGUGGCGGACGGGUGAGUAACACGUGGGUAACCUGCCCUUAAGUGGGGGAUAACAUUUGGAAACAGAUGCUAAUACCGCAUAAAUCCAAGAACCGCAUGGUUCUUGGCUGAAAGAUGGCGUAAGCUAUCGCUUUUGGAUGGACCCGCGGCGUAUUAGCUAGUUGGUGAGGUAACGGCUCACCAAGGCAAUGAUACGUAGCCGAACUGAGAGGUUGAUCGGCCACAUUGGGACUGAGACACGGCCCAAACUCCUACGGGAGGCAGCAGUAGGGAAUCUUCCACAAUGGACGCAAGUCUGAUGGAGCAACGCCGCGUGAGUGAAGAAGGCUUUCGGGUCGUAAAACUCUGUUGUUGGAGAAGAAUGGUCGGCAGAGUAACUGUUGUCGGCGUGACGGUAUCCAACCAGAAAGCCACGGCUAACUACGUGCCAGCAGCCGCGGUAAUACGUAGGUGGCAAGCGUUAUCCGGAUUUAUUGGGCGUAAAGCGAGCGCAGGCGGUUUUUUAAGUCUGAUGUGAAAGCCCUCGGCUUAACCGAGGAAGUGCAUCGGAAACUGGGAAACUUGAGUGCAGAAGAGGACAGUGGAACUCCAUGUGUAGCGGUGAAAUGCGUAGAUAUAUGGAAGAACACCAGUGGCGAAGGCGGCUGUCUGGUCUGUAACUGACGCUGAGGCUCGAAAGCAUGGGUAGCGAACAGGAUUAGAUACCCUGGUAGUCCAUGCCGUAAACGAUGAAUGCUAGGUGUUGGAGGGUUUCCGCCCUUCAGUGCCGCAGCUAACGCAUUAAGCAUUCCGCCUGGGGAGUACGACCGCAAGGUUGAAACUCAAAGGAAUUGACGGGGGCCCGCACAAGCGGUGGAGCAUGUGGUUUAAUUCGAAGCAACGCGAAGAACCUUACCAGGUCUUGACAUCUUUUGAUCACCUGAGAGAUCAGGUUUCCCCUUCGGGGGCAAAAUGACAGGUGGUGCAUGGUUGUCGUCAGCUCGUGUCGUGAGAUGUUGGGUUAAGUCCCGCAACGAGCGCAACCCUUAUGACUAGUUGCCAGCAUUUAGUUGGGCACUCUAGUAAGACUGCCGGUGACAAACCGGAGGAAGGUGGGGAUGACGUCAAAUCAUCAUGCCCCUUAUGACCUGGGCUACACACGUGCUACAAUGGAUGGUACAACGAGUUGCGAGACCGCGAGGU